AUUGAACGCUGGCGGCAUGCUUUACACAUGCAAGUCGAACGGCAGCGCGGGCUUCGGCCUGGCGGCGAGUGGCGAACGGGUGAGUAAUGCAUCGGAACGUGCCCAGUAGUGGGGGAUAGCCCGGCGAAAGCCGGAUUAAUACCGCAUACGACCUGAGGGUGAAAGCGGGGGACCGAAAGGCCUCGCGCUAUUGGAGCGGCCGAUGUCGGAUUAGCUAGUUGGUGGGGUAAAGGCUUACCAAGGCGACGAUCCGUAGCUGGCCUGAGAGGACGACCAGCCACACUGGGACUGAGACACGGCCCAGACUCCUACGGGAGGCAGCAGUGGGGAAUUUUGGACAAAGGGGGCAACCCUGAUCCAGCCAUGCCGCGUGCGGGAAGAAGGCCUUCGGGUUGUAAACCGCUUUUGUUCGGGAAGAAAUCCUCUGGGCUAAUACCCCGGGGGGAUGACGGUACCGGAAGAAUAAGCACCGGCUAACUACGUG
rnacentral:rRNA from 1 species